CUUCCCUCUAGCACAAUAAUUAAUUACACUAGAUUAUAAUAACAAAGAAGCAGAUCACAACAAAAAUUAAUUAUUUAGUUAAUUAAAAUUAAAAAUUUAGAGAAAAUUUAUGAAGCUAGUACUACUCGUCUAGUCCAAUGGCUACAAAGCAUGAAAUUGGCCUACAAAAUUGGAGGAAAUGUUGUAGAGGAUAUGAUUUCAUUACGUUAAAUUAUAAAUCAUAUUAUUAUAUCAUCAGAGCCUCCCUAGCCUGUUGAAAACGGGAGAUUUCUUCAUUGCCUAUGUAACAGCUUUCCUUCUUUGUUUUCUUAAUUUUGCGCCCAAUGAGAACAUAUAUUGUGAAAAUGCAACCUGAUCUGAUCAGGACAGCUUCAGAAACCAAAGGGUGAUCUUCUCCUGCUUCCACCUUCUCCAUAUUGCUCGUUCCAUUUCCUCAGCUCAUUCAUGCUUGCAGCAUCAUAGGCAACGGAUGGACCCACCUACGUACAGCAAACAGAUGCCAAUCUAACAACAGAUGUGAUAUAACGAUGAACACUAGAGCAUUUUGCACCAGAUUAAUAGGUCCAGUAAAUAAUCCCAGGAUUAAAAUUUAUAAAAAAAAAAAAAAGGUUUGUGCCAACUGCAGCAACAUAUCAUGUGCUGCAAAUAGAAUAAUCCCAUUCCACAAAUAUUCGUGAACGAACAAAAUCUUAGGGAUAUUCUUUCAGAACCAGCAAACAAUGUAAGUUGAAGAUAAUGACACAAGAUUAUGAUAAUUUCCAAACAUUAGUAACUAAAUUCAUUGAUUACCUUUGCUUUUGACUGAAUGAAAUCAUCCAAAUUAAGUGACCUUAAAGCUGAAGCAACAUCACCUUUACCACCCUGUGGGGAAAAAAAUCAAAAGAUAGCAGAACAACAAACCAUUUUUUUUCCCAUCCUACAAUGUAAAGAUUAAAACAUAACAAAAAAUGGGAAAAAUUAUAACUUGGAACAAUAACAAUCCCUUUCCACUUUGAUAGAUAAAUUAAGUAAAUUGUUCCCCUAGAAACUUGACGCAUGUUUCCAUAGAAAAUGAUAUUUUCAAGUUACCAUACUAUUCUGCACGAAGACACUUAAUUUUGGGGGCUAAUGAAAUAUAUGCCCCACUUUUAGACUGACAUAAUUAAAUAUGAGAAAAUUCGAAAGCAGACAUAAAAUUUACCAUUAAACUUCACACUACAGCAUUCUAUCAGAGCACAGUCAAACAUAAGAACUUGGAAAGUAUGCCAAGUCCAAUGCAGAAACACUGAUAGAAGAAUUCAGAUCUUCAAACCCUCCUAAAUGUAAGAUUUACCUUCUUUUCUUCUUCUAGAAGUUCCUGGACAGGUCUAUAUGCUGCAGCAAUACAGAGGUUCUUCAAAUCACUACCAGAAUAUCCCUCAGUUGUACUUGCUAGUUUGUUAAACUGAAAAUCAGGUCCUAAAUUCUCUUGUGCAAGAAAUAUUUUCAAAAUCUUCUUCCGGUUUUCAGCAUCCGGUAGAUCCACAUAUAUUCUUCUAGGUAAGCGGCGAAUUACGGCAUCAUCAAGAUCAAAUGGCCGAUUCGUGGCACCAAGGAUGAGAAUCCUUUGGCUGUCUUUCGUCCUCAAUCCAUCCCAUGCUGCCAUGAAUUCAUUCCUCAUUCUUCUAGUAGCCUCGUGCUCAAAAGCACCACCACGAGCACCAAGCAAACUGUCCACCUGCUGCAUCAGUUAAUAUCAGAGAAGGAAUUCACUCAAUCUGAUGGCAAUUGAUGAAGUUGUUGGUGGCAGUUGUUCUCUUGGAAAAGUGAUCAGGGAAUGGAGAACCUCCAGGCCACUGUGCAUGACCAUGGGAACAGCAUUAAGAAACCUAGAUCAAAUGAUGGAUCUUGGGCUGCAAAAUUUUAGAAAGCCACUUCGAAGACAUUGCAGGUGGACUUGAUGCUUUAGGAAUCAAUGCUAACAGAAGGCGGAAUGACAACAUACCACAUAUUGGAGAGUUAGCUUGAAGUCAGCCCAUCAGCAGAAACAUUCCUGCAUAUUGGCAUAGACACUGUGCUUAUAUGGAAGACACAGAUGGUGAAUACGGUGGCAGUGCAGGCUAUGUUGAUAAUGCUGGUGGUGAUAGAAACGCAGGCAAUACAGGACCCAACAAAUUUUGUCUAAACGUAGAUAUUUCUAGAUUUCAUGGGAUUUCAAUUAUCUAGGAUUUAUAUUCCUUGAUUUCGUGGGAAUUCAAUUAUCUCGAUUGGAUUACCAAAGUUGAUAGGUUCUUUGAAUAUUUAUGACAUGGAAGAAAUUAGUGAAGGAUUCUUGGGAAAGUGGGAAAACAACAAGGGAAGGCAAAGGAAGCAAGAGGGUGGUUAAGAAAAUAAAAUAAAAUAAAUUCCAGCAAAGAACAUGCCCAGACCAUGCUCUAGCAGAGGCAGCCAAGUUUUACAGAGUGAAGAAUACACCCUAGGUGUGUUCCAAGGGUGUUUUUUUCUGUCCCAUCCCGUGAAGUCUUAGUUUUUCAGCCUUUUUUAAUCCAAGACAAACCACCAAAUGGGUCCAGCAGUCCUAAUGCGUUCCAACUUGUUUUGGGAGAGUUUUUGGCAGCCAAAUUUGUUGUUGUGCAUUCCUAUUUCAAUUAGGAUUACUUAUUAGUUUUCCUUCAACUAGGAUUUAAUUGAUUUCCUAUUUUAUCUAAAUUUCUCUAAUGUAAAUAGGCUAUUCUAUAUAAAUCCCCAAAACUAAUGUGACUGGGAAUUCAAACUCUAUAAAUAGGCUUAGUUUCUCCAUUUUAAUUUAGAGACUUAUUAUGAUUAUAGACUAUUGUUCUGAGCAAUAAAGUUGAGAAUUUGUAUCUCCCAACCUGAGAAUUUGUUUCCCGUCCCCAAAAAUCCCCUAAAUACCUAAUUACCUAUUGGCUCUACCUCAGGUGCCCUUCGUGCACAAAGCGCCCCACCUUGCAAUAUAUCGUUAGGGUCAGCAGCUGGACAUCUAUUAUAUGCAGCCUUUUCCCUACUUUUCUGAAGGAGGCUGUUUACAUUACUCUCAAAAGGAGCAAAACUUAUCAAUUCACUUGCCCUCAUAUAAUAUAAUAAAAUAACUUCAGUGACAUUCACAAAAACAAUACUUUAAAACCCUUAGAUUACACAAAACACAAAUGCAUAAAAGCAAUUUAGUACAACAAAUUGAAAGAAAUGUCAAGUUGAAAUAGAAUUAGAGAUUGCAAUAAGCUGUAAAUUUGUUGUAAUACAUUCUUAUAAUGUUAGUAGAAUAUCAUUCAACAGGUUCCAAGGGUAUUUAGGAAAAUUACUAAUUUUUUUUUUUAUACAUUUGCACUUUUCAGUCAUUAAUGAAGUGAAGGUUUGAGGAGGAUUAUAGCUUUAUUAAAAUGCAUCAGAAAAAUUUUACACUUUGGCAUGAAUUGCUUACCAUUCAAUAAGUCCAAUAAUUGGGCAAAUAAUCCUAAACCUUA
rnacentral:misc_RNA from 1 species